GGGAAAAGCCGGCCUGGAGCCGCCGGAGCGGGGCCGUGGCUGCGCCGUCCCGGUGUCCCCAUCUCGGAGACGCAGCCGCACGGAAAAGGGCACCUCCUGAUGGACCUCUGCUGGCUCCUGCACCAUCCUGCUCAGGCACUGCUGUUCAGUUCGGUUCGGUUCGCCUGCAGAAUCCUUCACUUUGUUGUGUGUAAUAUUUUAUCUAUAACAACUUGGCAGCUCCCGUGGAAAAUGGAAGGGACACCGAGAGCACCCAGGGCCGCUCACCAGCAGGAAAGGAGCAGAGGUCCAGCAACAGCUUUGUGGUUUGUGUGUGCCUGACACAUGGAGGGGAAUGCUCUGGGGAGCUCUUUGCACUCUACUGCUUUGUGUUUUGCUGCCCUGAUUCUUAAAAGAGUUAAGUUUUCUUUUAUAGUUCUUUUGAAAGUUUUAAAGUUCUCAUAAAACUUCUUCAGCCUUCUGAUAAUGCUUAGAGAGUCAGAAUUCCCACACAAUUUUAUGUAGAAAUAGAAUAGUUUACAUAUUCCUCUGUGGGUGGAGAGAAAUGAUUGAUGGAUCUUGGGACCAGUGUGGUUGUAAUGUGGUGGUAAUUCCAUCCUCCAAUCCACAGUCACUUUUGGAAUUCUAUAAAUACCAGAUGUUUGAAUAAAACUGGAUCUUUUUCUCUUUU